rnacentral:rRNA from 1 species
GGGUGCGAUCAUAGCAGCACUAAUGCACCGGAUCCCAUCAGAACUCCGAAGUUAAGCGUGCUUGGGCGAGCACGAGAGUAGUACUAGGAUGGGUGACCCCACUGGGAAGUCCUCGUGUUGCACCCC